rnacentral:rRNA from 1 species
UACGAAGGGGGCUAGCGUUGUUCGGAAUUACUGGGCGUAAAGCGUGCGCAGGCGGCUUCUCAAGUCAGGGGUGAAAGCCCAGAGCUUAACUCUGGAAUUGCCUUUGAGACUGAGAGGCUUGAGUACGGGAGAGGUGAGUGGAAUUCCCAGUGUAGAGGUGAAAUUCGUAGAUAUUGGGAAGAACACCGGUGGCGAAGGCGGCUCACUGGACCGUAACUGACGCUGAGGCGCGAAAGCGUGGGGAGCAAACAGG